GUUCCAGAACGCAACCUGUUCACAAUCUGGGGACUGCCUGAAACUUCCAAUGAGGUUGAAUUGCCUGUGAACACUGGUUUAAAUACAGAAUCACUGAAUCGUUACAGCAUUUGAAGAGGUCAUUUGGCUAUCAUGGACACAACAGUCUGGCUGAAGAAACAAAGGUGUUGGACAGGUUGAUGAUCAAGGCUGCUUUGUCCUGGAUCAUGUUGAAUUUCUUGAUUGCUGUUGGAGCUAUUCUCACUGACACAUGGAAAAUAUUACAUCAAAAUACAUAUUUAGCACUUGCAGAUAGUGGAAAGAUUUUGGAAGAUCACAGGGUGGAGCAGCUUGAAAUCUGUCAAGUUUCUAUGUGUGUUCCCGCAUUCCAGAGUUAAACACAAGAGGUACUGGGAACUCUUGAACUAGAUUCAAGCACCACCUGUUGUUAAAAUCAACCUUUGUUCAGAUCGCAGAAGGAGCAUUCGUCAUCUUGGUGGCAGAAGCAGCUGUACUAUAACAAGCAGGAAGCAGAGGAGGGGUCUUUCAGCCUCUGCAGAGUUGUUAGAACAACUGUUUCAACUGCCAAGGCCACCUCCGAGAAACGAAACCAUCACUACCCAGAAGGGAGAACAAAACAGUACAACGUGCCAAUGAGAUGUCCUGGUCUGAUUUGUCCUGUAUAUCUCAACGUAGUGCUCCAGUAUGACCAGUACAUUAAUUUCCAAGUAUUA